CUGCACGCAGCGCCUCAGCCUCCUUGAAUGAGAAACAGGGGUAACCAGGCAACUUCAAGAGCUGCAAAGAGAGAGAGAGGGAGAGAGAGAGAGCGAGGGAGGGAGAGGGAGCGGUAGGAAAGAACAACAUCGAGCUUUACGGACAUUUCGAUUCGGGCAGUAAAUUAGUUUUAAAAGAGCACGCUAAUGUGAUUCCACCUUGUGUGCCCGGUAAAUGGAAUUAACAAAUGGAUUUUCUUCUGCACGCUCUCUGCAUGCUCUUCACUUGGCGCGCUCACGCGAAAGGGACGCAGAUAUGGAUUAAAACGCAUACAUGGGACACUCCGCUGGGAAAAAGGGUUCAGAGCCAGCGACUGUGAGAGGCUGUCGGAUCACGUCCGAUGUUCUCUCCGAGGGAAUAAUAGCCACUCCUGACCUACUGUGAAGAACAAUCUUUGAUUCAAUCAAUGCCGCCGCCUCCCUCGGGGGGAAUUGUUCCAGAGCGAUAGGUGAACAUUCAGAAAAGAGCACCAGUCGAACCAUGUGAUACCUGACCUUCAAGCGGGCUUACUCCAGAGGAUGUCAAAUCAGAUCUGAAGCUUUUCUCGAGAGGAUCACCGAGCUCUUCAUGCGUUGUUUGCUAAUGCGCACACAUCAUGGCCAAGUGAAGAGGGCGAUUUAUCAACGCUGGAUCUUCAUUUGCGGAGGAGCGCCGCCGCGCAUGACAGCAUGAACGUGAGAUCGAUGAGUCCGACUGCGACGUGCCCGUAAGAAAGACGGAAGUCGGGGGAAAUCCAGCUCUGGGAGUUGGCGUUGGAUUAACUGGUGUGGCCGCGAACCCAUGCUGGACUUGCUGUGAGCCGGGCGAAGGGACUCAGCAGUGGAGGAUGUCAGCAGAGGCCGAGCUCCAGCCGGGUGUCAAAACCAUCCAGAGAAAGGAGUCCAGGAGAAUCAAAGGUCAGGACCGCACCGAGACGGUGCUUAUUAAGCGUUUCCGGGGAGAUGGCGUUCGCUACAAGGCCAAGCUGAUCGGGAUUGAUGAGGUGACAGCAGCACGCGGGGACAAGCUGUGCCAAGACUCCAUGAUGAAGCUCAAGGGCAUGGCUUCCACGGCACGCUCCAAAGGGGAGCACAAGCAGAGAAUCUUCUUGACCGUCUCUUUUGGAGGGAUCAAGAUUUACUGUGAAAGAUCGGGGGUACUCCAGCAUCAGCAUUCGGUCCAUGAAAUUAGCUACAUUGCCAAGGACACCAGGGACCACCGGGCCUUCGGUUACGUUUGUGGAAAGGAGGGCCACCACAGGUUUGUCGCCAUUAAGACUGCCCAGUCGGCGGAGCCUCUCAUCAUUGACCUGCGUGACCUCUUUACCCUCAUCUACGACAUUAAGCAACGGGAGGAGAUGGAGAAAAAGGCCCAGAAGGACAAACAUUGCGAGCAGGCCGUCUACCAGACCAUCUUGGAGGACGAAGCAGACGAUCCCGUUUACCAGUACAUAGUGUUUGAGGCUGGACACGAACCCCUCCAUGGCCCCCAGUCAGAGGAGAGCGUUUAUCAGGUCCCAACCAGUCAGCAGAAGGAAGGGAUCUAUGAUGUCCCCAAACGCCAUUUCAUGACUAAUAUCAACCACUUCGACCUUUUCGGCGAUAUGUCCACUCCUCCGUCGAUGCCCCCUUCACCUGCCAACACACUGGACCCGAGCAGGAGCAGCCGCCAGCAGCAGCAGCAGCAGCCGCAGCCGCCCAAUCCUGCCGAGAUGUAUGCCCCCUUCAGCCCGACCUCUGUGCCAUCAGGUUAUAUGACCAUGGGCCCCGUGCAGACGUCCCAGUGGGCCCAGCAGCCGUUUCCUGGCCAGGCUCAGACUCUCGCCUUCCCCGUGCAGGGGCCCUUGCAAGUGGCCCAAGUGCUGCCCGGAGGUCAGCCCCUCAUCUGGAGCCAGGCCAACAUUUUCCGAGCCACCCAGCAGCAAUGGGCGGCCAUGGCGGCGUACGUGCCGGCCCAGACUGUGGGGGUGGGGGGGCACGCCAUCCCGGCCGCCAUGCUCCAAGGCUUGGUGCCCAUUACCACCGUGUGCCCCCAAGCCUGCGACCCGUCCGCCCCCUCUUCGGCCAUCGCCAGCCCGCAGCACACGGCCGACCCCGCUCUGCUUCAGAGGCAGCUCAGCCUGGCAAAAGACGGCCUGGGCGUGGACUUGGAUGCAGGGGAGGGCCCGUCGACAUCGGGGGCGGGGCCCGGCGGGGUAGCAGUGAGCAGGUGCGCGACCCCGGGCCUGGUGGGCGUCAACAACGCCGUGGUCUGCAGUCGGCCGGUGUCACCCCCUGCUACCGCCGCAUUGGACGACGAAGGCAGUGACCUCGAUCUGUCCCGGAUGACCUUGAGCCCUGGUACAUCCACAUCGCCGUCGACCGAAUCACCAUCCACUCCAGCGCCUCAACAGAGCUCUUCAUCAGACUGCCCCCCGGGCCAAGUCAACACCAUCCCCACAGACCACCCCCAUGUCGAGCCCGUGGGCGACUCCACCCGUGCCAAGGACGAGCAAUCGGACUCCGCUGUCCCAAGGCCAUCCUCUCCAUUGGCCGGUGGAGCCAGCGGUCCAUCUGAGGAUCAGGCGUGUCCACGGGAAGACAGCUAGAGAACAUCAGAGUGGGUCUUUCAUCAUUCCUCAUUUAGCCACCAAACGCUUCACUUUGUGGCCACGUUUUUUCAUCUCCCUUUAGUUUCUCAAUUCCCUGAUUAGCCUUACAUUCUACAUUCUCCUUUUGUGUGUAUGUGUGUGUGUGUUUUUUUUUCUUGGCGCAUGACUGCGUUGCUCUCAUUUCGAAGCCUUCCUUGUCCAUAUGCCCCCCCCCCUGCAUCGUCACCCAUUUCGCUUGCUUCAUCCAGAAAGGAAAUGGAAGCCGCGAAGGUCAAAACUGAAGCUUGAAAGAACUGAAAGAAAAGAGAUGUGGAUGGCUACGACUAAAUUCGAAAGGAUUACAAAAAUGUAACUGUGUUUUUUUGUUUUGUUUCGUUCUUGUUUACGGCUAGAUGGCAAAGCUAGCUGGCCGCCUAAUGAACUCCUCACGAUGGCGAGGAGCCCUGUGGCGCUCUCACCCAAUCAAGUAACCUUUCAGCCAGGAAGUGACCUUUCAUCUUCGCCCUGAAAGCGCAACGGGAGCAAACUGCACUUAUGUCUCUGAUGACAACUCAGACGGCUGUGAUGACGUUGCUCACUAAUAAAUAUUUUUUUUUCAAGAGGAGCAGCGUCCUCAAUGUUUGACCUUCACUCUGUGGACCGCCACCAGCAAGGACCGUGAGAAGAACUGUGCGCUGAUGGAUGACGUUUUUCAUGGUGUCAGUCCAUUCAUCCGUUUGCAUGAACAAACUUCAUGUGGAAUUUAGCAGGCUGAGCUGUGGAGAAAGAGGCUGGGGGGGGGGCUUUGCAAGUUUCUUUCAGGUCAGAAACACAUCAACACCAUUUGUGUUAUUUUAUUCGUCAGACCGUUCUUUCGAAGAAAAAAAAAAUCAGCAAAAACGCAUUACGCGCUCAUGUCCAAAUCAAAUUUGCCAAACUCUUUAUUUUGUAGAGAAAAAAAGAUCGCCCCAGCGCCCAGUCGUUAGCCUCCGUGCCAUCCCAUAGCGCUCUUGGAUGCACCUCAGCCUUUGACAUCUGGGUGUUUGUUUUUGCUCUUUUGCUGCCAUUUUUCUUUUUUUUUUUUUUCUGAAAAUGUCUUUAUGUUUGGUUGGUGAGAUAUAAACUGUAAAUCUGUGUUUUAUGCUCGAUCAAAAUAAGGCCUGCUGUACCUGUCUCACUCAUUUUCAGAAAGAAGGGGUCAUGCACUUGGAAAACAAUGGCCUGAGUCUCGAGGUCUCCUCUUUCGAAAGUCGCAGGCAUUUUUUUUUUUCUUCUGCAAAAUAGAUGACUGACUCCUGUACAUCUCUUUGUUGUUUUCAUCUUCUGCUUUUUGGAAACACUGUAUGUCCACCCCCACUGGAUCAAACCGCAGAAUUCUUUUUAAAAUUUCUAUCAAUCAAUAGAAAUAUCGCUAUAAACUGCUAGAGUUACAAUUUAAAAACUGCACCCCCUGCUUGUGUAAGAAAACAUGAAAUAGUCCAAAAUAUUUUGUAAAUUUUAUUUAUGGAUUUAAGAAAUAUGAAAAAAAAAAGGGACUUUUGUACAUCGAUUCCCCCAUACACUGUACCUGUGCCACUGUUAAGUCACAAAUAAAAUAAAAUGUGAUUGCCAAUGUACUUCA